ACUCCUAACCACAUAUUGAGCCAGACUAUACUAAUAGUAGGCCCCAUGCUAAAACUAGUAACAAGAAAAAUUCUCUCCCGCACCCCCGUGCAUCAGUAACAGAAAACCUGCUGACAAUUAACAGACUAAAACAAGACUAAAUAACCCCAUAUUAACACUAAACUGUCACACCAACACUGGCGUGCCACAAAGAAAGAUUAAAAGUCGCAGAAGGAACUCAGCAAAGUACUGUCCCAACUGUUUACCAAAAACAUAGCCUUUAGCAACAUUAGUAUUAAAGGUCCCGCCUGCCCAGUGAAAUUCUUUCAACGGCCGCGGUAUUCUAACCGUGCAAAGGUAGCGUAAUCAUUUGUCUCCCAAAUAGAGACCGGUAUGAACGGCUAAAUGAGGACAAACCUGUCUCCUGCAACUAAUCAGUGAAACUGAUCUCCCAGUACAAAAGCUGGCAUACCCACAUAAGACGAGAAGACCCUGUGGAGCUUAAAAUUAACCACUAACAGCCCUAGGCCCACUAGUAUAAAAUUUUAAGUUGGGGCGACUUCGGAACAAAACUAAACUUCCGAGCACAGAACCAUCAGUUCUAAACGAGGCCCACAAGCCAAAACAAAAGCCGACCCAGUCAUACUGACCAACGAACCAAGUUACCCCAGGGAUAACAGCGCAAUCUUCUUCAAGAGUCCCUAUCGACAAGAAGGUUUACGACCUCGAUGUUGGAUCAGGACACCCCGAUGGUGCAACCGCUAUUAAAGGUUCGUUUGUUCAACGAUUAAUAGU
rnacentral:rRNA from 1 species